GCAGUCGUGGCCUACUGGUUAGGGCUUCAGUCUUGUAACCGGAGGGUUGCCGGUUCGAUCCCCGACCAGUAUG
rnacentral:tRNA from 1 species